rnacentral:rRNA from 1 species
AUUGAACGCUGGCGGCAUGCUUUACACAUGCAAGUCGAACGGCAGCGCGGGCUUCGGCCUGGCGGCGAGUGGCGAACGGGUGAGUAAUGCAUCGGAACGUGCCCAGUAGUGGGGGAUAGCCCGGCGAAAGCCGGAUUAAUACCGCAUACCACCUGAGGGUGAAAGCGGGGGACCGAAAGGCCUCGCGCUAUUGGAGCGGCCGAUGUCGGAUUAGCUAGUUGGUGGGGUAAAGGCUUACCAAGGCGACGAUCCGUAGCUGGUCUGAGAGGACGACCAGCCACACUGGGACUGAGACACGGCCCAGACUCCUACGGGAGGCAGCAGUGGGGAAUUUUGGACAAUGGGGGCAACCCUGAUCCAGCCAUGCCGCGUGCGGGAAGAAGGCCUUCGGGUUGUAAACCGCUUUUGUUCGGGAAGAAAUCCUCUGGGCUAAUACCCCGGGGGGAUGACGGUACCGGAAGAAUAAGCACCGGCUAACUACGUG